GAUGAACGCUAGCGGCAGGCUUAACACAUGCAAGUCGAGGGGUAACAUUGGUGCUUGCACCAGAUGACGACCGGCGCACGGGUGCGUAACGCGUAUAGAAUCUGCCUUCUACAGAGGGAUAGCCUUUAGAAAUGAAGAUUAAUACCUCAUAAUAUUAAUUGAUAGCAUUAUUAAUUAAUUAAAGAUUUAUCGGUAGAAGAUGACUAUGCGUCCUAUUAGCUAGAUGGUAAGGUAACGGCUUACCAUGGCAACGAUAGGUAGGGGUCCUGAGAGGGAGAUCCCCCACACUGGUACUGAGACACGGACCAG
rnacentral:rRNA from 1 species